UCCCAGAAGAAACCACGAGAAAAAUAACCAGACAAGGUGCCUGUCCCUGGGAGAUGGUGGAGGAGGAAAUCAGAGGCACUGUUUACAGGCCAGAACUCCAAGUCAUGCUUCUGGAAUGGAAAAGGCCACACUAGAUCAGGGUGCUGAUUAAUGAAGACUUAUUGGAAAGUCUGGGACCUGUCAUGAUAUAAACGGUACAGAACAAGGGCUGCAUAUUGUCCUGGUUACUUCUUGGGU
rnacentral:lncRNA from 1 species